ACGUAAUAAAUUUAACUUAAGUUUACCAGAGUACUACGAAUAAAAAGUUUAAAACUCAAAGAGCUUGGCGGUGUUUUAGACCUCUCAGGGGAACCUGUCUCAUAAUCGACAAUCCACGUUAAACCCGACCCUCUAUGGCAAUUCAGCCUGUAUACCGUUGUCGUCAGGUAACUUCUUAAAAUAUAGUAGUUAGCUCGAAAAUUAUAUUAAUUAGUACGUCAGAUCAAGGUGCAGCUAAUAAGGGGGAGAGGAUGGGUUACAAUUAUAUAUUUAUAAUUACAGAAAACACCCUAAAUAAAGUGUUAGAAGGAGGACUUGAAAGUAAUUUUGAUUAUAUAAGCAAAAUGAAUAAGGCUCUGAAACGUG
rnacentral:rRNA from 1 species